rnacentral:lncRNA from 1 species
GAGACCAGCUCAGCAGGUUGGGGCUGAAGAACAGGUGCUGUGAAACUUAAGGAAAAAUUUAACAUAAAACAAGACACAGAGACAUUUAUCUUAAAUAAAGGUGGGAACCAGGGUACUCAAGGUCUCAGGGACCAAAAGCGCUGCCUCAAGAAACCACACUGCUUUUAUUGUGUUCUUUAGGAUGACAUUAAAUGAGGAGGGGCUAUGGGUGGAGGAUAUAAGGUUUGUUUACUAUUUUAUAUGUUCUUUUAUUAUUUUAAAAGCCACUUAGCUGGCAGAAGGUUAAGCUUUUACUCUUUUAGGCACAUCACAAUCAUUAGUAUUUGAGUUAUCUGUCUAUGCAUAGCAUUCCAGAGAAUCCUCACUGUGAUUCCACAAAGGGCAUGCCUAUUUGCAGCACCCAACAUGCCUAGGUUUGCACCCUGGUUCUCUUUGCCAAUGCACAUUCUGCUAGGACCACUCAUAAACCACUUGGCCAUGAGGUUCCUCUUUCACUUAUUAUUUUGAGGACAUAUCAUGCUUGUGCAAAUGGCAUGACAAUCUGCACAGGUCUGGCAUGCCUAGACCAAUGGAUUAUGUCCUCAUUCAGCUGACCCUAUGAAUAACUUAUGCCUUUAGGUCUUUGUUCUUAAGCUUAAGUCAUUUACCAGCACUGUGACUGUUUUUCAAGCAGGAAGAUGAUAUAAAGUAAAGCAGGAAGAUGGGAUUUUUCAGCAAAAAAAAAAUAAUUUUUGGAAGUCCUUGCCACAGCAAUCAGAAAAAUAAAAGAAAUAAAAGGAAUCCAGAUGGGAAAGGAAGAAGUAAAACUAUCACUAUUUGUAGAUGACAUGAUAAUAUACCAGAGAAUCCUGAAGACUCUGCCUGAAAACUGUUAGAGCUCAUCCACGAAUUUGGCAAAGGCACAGGAUACAAAAUUAAUACACAGAAAUUGACAGCAUUUCUAUACACUAACAUUGAAAGAUCAGAAAGGGAAAUUAGGGAAGCAAUCCCGUUUACCAUCACAUCCAAAAGAAUAAAAUACCUAGGAGUAAACCUACCUAAAGAGACAAAAGACCUGUACUCUGAAAACUGUAAGACACUGAUGAAAGAAAUCAAAGAUGACACAAAUAGAUGGAAAGACAUACCAUGCUCCUGGAUUGGAAGAGUUAAUAUUAUCAAAAAGACUACACUACCCAAGUUAUCUACAGAUUCAAUGCAACCCUUAUCAAAUUGCCAAGGACAUUUUUCACAGAACUCAAACAAAAUAUUGUAAAGUUUGUUUGGAAGCACAAAAGACCCAGAAGAGCCAAAGACAUCCUGAAAAAGAAAAAUGGAGCUGGAGGAAUCAGGCUCCCGGACUUCAGACUAUACUGCAAAGCAACAAUCAUCAAAGCCAUAUGGUAUUGGCACAAAGACAGAAAUAUAGAUCAGUGGAACAGGAUAGAAAGCCCAGAAUUAAAACCACGCACCUACAGACUACUAAUCUAUGACAAAGGAGGCAAGGAUAUACAGUGGAGAAAGGACAGCUUGUUCAAUAAGUGGUGCUGGGAAAACUGGACAGCCACAUGGAAAAGAAUGAAAUGAGAACACUCCCUAACACCAGACACAAAAAUAAACUCAAAAUGGAUUCAAGACCUAGAUAUAAGACCAGACACUAUAAAACUCUUAGAGGAAAACAUAGGCUAAACACUCUGUGACAUAAACGACAGCAACAUCUUCUCAGAUCCACCUCUUAGAGUAAAUACAGUAAAAACAAAAAUAAACAAAUGGGACCUCAUUAAACUUAAAAGUCUCUGGACAGCAAUGGAAACCCUCUACAAAAUGAAAAGACAACCCACAGAAUGGGUGAAAGUCUUUGCAAGUGAAUCAACUGACAAGGGAUUAAUCUCCAAAAUUUUUAAACACCUCUUACAGCUCAAUACUAGUAAAACAAACAACCCCAUCAAAAAAU